UCAAUACACGAUCUAAUCAACGUUCUGAUCAGACAGAGUCGUUGUGAACAGACAGACCUGCGGUCUCCAACUGAGACUCCGAUCGGCCCUCCGGCCAACUCUCUCCUACUUUCCCAUCAGGAUUGAUCUCACUCGGUCUCUUUCUGUGUUUUCUCUCCUCCCUGUCCAGAACCCGUGUGGAAAAAAGAGUAACCGUCCUUGAUCCCCGAAAAUCCCCAUAAAAGGAAUGUUUUGGGUGGUUUCCUCCCCAACCGUCAAUUCCAUAACCGCCACGCGCGUUCCUUCCAGUCCGUAACCGUCCUAGACGGUUUCUCCCUCGGCCAACUGCCUUGACGGUUUUCCGUAACUCCCUGCAGUUCCAACUGCUCUUUAACCGCCUUAGCGGUUUAUGGCUCAACCGUCCCAGUCGGUUAUGCGUCCAGGAUCUGCUCUGGAACUGCUCGUGUAACCGGCCUGGUAAACUGUUCGGUAACCGCUCUAGUAACUGUUCCAGAACUGCUUAGUAACCGUUCCAGCCAUUUUCCUUGGCUAAUCCGUUCAUGUUCAGCUCAGUAUACGUUCCUGUCAAAACGUAUACCAGUCAGUCCACACAUUGACUACUAAUCUCGGAUGACAAGUCCAGAUGUUUUGUCUGAAUCCGUCCAGCUUAGUCCGACAAGCUCAACUUCUAUGUUUGGACAGACAGUAUCGUCUUAAUAUGACAAGUACUAUCCAGUUGACAUGUCCAAGAUGUCUGUCCCGUCUGAUCAGUCCAACCCUGGACUGAUCCAGUUCAGACUGCGGGAUGGGGAUGCUACAAUUAGCCCCCCAUAGAAUUGCUGAGUUGUCUUGAUAUGAAUCAAUUGAAUUGUACUUAUUUCUUGUGUUCUAGAGUAACUGACCAGAACCCUGAACUUAGGUAAUUGGGCGCAAGCGAAAGCAUGGUCCUUUGUCUGAACUAGUUUACAUUGUGCUAGGAUUGCUAGAAACAAACGACAGUUGAUUUAGGAAUCCUAGUGAACCGUUCAAACCCGCUCGCUAAAGCUUCCUAGAAGGAACGUCGAUAGACAACUCCAUAGUUGUAUCGAUCGACGAUCUAAAAGGUGUAUCGAUCGGCAGCUCGUUGAUAGCGUCAAUCGAAACUUUCUCAAGAUCAACAAACAAAGUUGAGAUCUUAGAUCUAGUCAAUAGAUGAUCAAAACAAACGAAAGUUGAUGGAUCAUUCUUAUGUUUGAGUUCUAUAAUAUCUUGUUUAGAAUCUUAGUCUCUAUCUACUAUAAUCCUGAUUUUUUAAAUAGAAAUCCUAAGUCUGACAUCUUCAUUUACUGCUUAAAACCUUCAAUCAAUCAACCGAUAAAUUACUUUGCUUACCACUGCUAUUUAAUUUACACAUGUUUGCCUAGCUUAAUUACAUGACUACUAGAUAUUUUGUGUGCCUUAGCUCCCUGUGAAUUCGAUCCCUAAGUGCUAUAACUCGCCUCUUAGUUGAGAGAGUACAAAUCGGAUAAAGUUAUCCUAUCAAAAAUCCUUAUAAUUUUAAUGCCAUCUGCAAGACACAUGUCUUUCAUGUCCAACUGACCAUUGAACAAUGAUACAUCAUACAUCGCACCAUAGUGGUAAUGCAACCUCGAGUAUGGGAUGGAUUAUAAGAGACAUCAACGGAACUGUAUGGGAGUGUGAAAUGGGAAAAUUGAAGGGAUGAUUUACAAGCAAGGAAUCAGAAUUAACAUCAGUACUAUGGGCUAUUCAAGCAUCUUGGUCUAUGGACUAUGGGUUACCAUAAUGUCAUCUUCGAAGUGGAAAGAUUUCCCGUCAACAAUCUGUACAACACCACGACUACAACAUUGCAUCUCUACGCUACAAUCCUGGAAAAAAAGUUUCUCCUUAAUUAAAGUUGCCUAUCAGAAUCGCUCAACAAAAACAUAUGCUGAUUUAUUAGCUAAAAAGGAAUAUUAAAAAACGGAGUCUGAUUCAUUGUACUCCAUGCUUUUUACAACAGUUUGCAUAUUUUUAGACAAUAAUCAAUAAAAUAUUAUUAGUCAGGAAAAAACAACUGAGCAAAAAAAAAAGACAUAUUUCUUCAUUUAGGGCCGAACAAGUAGUCCACCACCCAGAAAACAAUAGGUAACAAUAGGUAUGAUUGGUAAGGGCACUGAUUUCAUUUUUUGGCUGUAGAAAUUCUGAUGUGAUUUUUUUUUUUGUUUUGGCUCUAGUUUUUAAGUUUUUAAAAUAUUUUAAAUUUGAGCUGUAGUUAUUUGUCUCCGCAGAACAAUUUUAAAGACAUAAGUUUAAAGAAGUGUUGUGGAUUUUUUUUAAAAUGGCUCUGAGCUUUAAAAAAAAAAUACAAAUAAAAAAUUAGUGUAGAUUUAGGGUUGUAGGUAUAAUUGUGACUUUGGAGAGCACCUACAGCCAAUAACCUUUGAAUUCUAGAAUAAUUGCUUCACCGUUAGGGCACUCAUACUUUAGUUACUACAACUCAAGUACGUGUAGUCAUGGAAUUUUCUUUUUAACAUUAAAAAAUAACCCAAUUUUAACUAUAUAAGUAGUCAAAUCAGGGGUUGUUAUAAGUUUCUACACAUAUUCUUUAGUUCACCUUUAGGAAUAAGUACUAUGGAUAAUUCUUCAUAUGUGUGGACGAGUCUUUCUACUGUAAAACAAUUACUAUCCUUAGAGAUUAGACAUAAGAAUCAUGCAUGCUAUAAGGUUAGAGCGUGGAAAGAUCCUUAGACCAACUCCAGCAAUGGGUUCCUAUAGGGUUCUAAACAGUAGCGAAUCCAGAAGUGAUAAUGACUGGGUGCACCAACGUGUAAAAUUAUAAAUUUCAAUUGAUACAUAUAAAAUUAGUUUGAUGCACACAAUCUGUUUGAUUUAAUGCUGUGGUUACACUUGGUCUAUGAUUCAUAUCAAACUUGGUCUAUGAUUAAAACUUGGUCUAUGAUUAAAACAGUAGCGAAUUCUCUGAUGCACACAAUCUGUUUGAUUUAAUGCUAUCUAUUUCCUAAUGAAAUUCAAAAAAAAAUUCUUGCAAUUUGAUAACAGCAUACACAGAGCAAAUGGGUGGUAGAUGCUCUGUUUGGAUCGGUUAUGCUUCUACGACAUGAUGGUACAGUCAAAUUGCUCAUCCUUUCCCAUCUCUGUUUCUCUACUUGCAUCAUUUAGUCAUCUCUCAAAGAUACAUUUUACUAUUAUUUCCCCAGUUAUGGAGUGGCUUGGAACCAACGAACUCUCUCUUUUCCUUAUCGGCCUCAUCCUUGCUUUGUAAACAUGGUUAAGGGUCUCCCAGAAGGUUCACACGACCAAUCAAGUGGUGGUGGGUGCGAUCGUGGGUUCUGUUUAUUCCACCUUAUUGUACAUAACGUGGAACUCACUUGUUCUCGAAGCUUUUGCCUCAUCAUUCUCAGUACAAGUAGCUGUCUUUACGGCUGCUGCUGCUGCAUCUGCUCUAGGUUUUGCAGUUUAUGUGCUACUUAACUGGUUCAAAGAUGACGACAGAUGACAAAGAAAAUAUAAUAAUUCCAGGGUUAUAAAACUAUUCAUUUGUUUCCCAUUUCACUCAUACUGUUUGAGCUGUCUAGCAAUCAACAUUACCACUUGCGUUCUUCUUGUAAAGGUUCUUCUUGAAAUCAGUUUCAUUCAAGUUCUUUGUGUUUUCUGCUGCAUGAACUUGAGCUCAAAAAAAAAAAAAAAAUUUAAGAACCUCAAUGAGGUUCUCCCAUUGGAUGAUGAGAAAAUUAAUUAGACUAACAAAAGUUCUAAACUUUUCAAUUCACAAAAUUAAUUAUUAAUUUAUUUAUUAGAGUCCAUAAGGGUCUCUAACUAAUGGACUUGCUCUUAGAUCCCGACUAUACCUGCGAGCAGGGACGAAUCCAGAAGAAUUAUUUACUGGGUGUAUUAUUAGUGAUAAAAAUAAAUAUGCAUGAAGGAGGCUCGAACUUAGAAUAUUAUGGGGGCACUAACUGAUUUUUACCAUUUGAGCCAUUGAAAAUUUUAGUACUUUCACCUGUAAAUUUUUUAUACCAAUAAAUAUGUUGAUGCACAUGCUACCACACCUUGUAACGUGGCUUCGUCGUUGCCUAUGAUGCCUACCCGUCCUAAUGUCCUGGUAGUCCAUCAGAGAUUAACGAUCAAUGAUUUUACUAGAGAAGACCCAAAGGAAUGGGAUGUGGACAUGCUUGAGAAUUUUGUUGUUCUAGAGGACAUACCUCUUAUCUGUAGCUUAGCUAUUAGCCAAACCACUUAUCGAGAUAUUUAUUAUUAGAAUUUGAUACAACCCUAUUCAACAAAAAAAACAAAUCAACUGAGGGUUUGGCUUAUGGACCUGUUAUUAAAUGACAUGCGCUUGAAUUUUUACUUAAAAUGUGCUUAUGAUCAUGCUUCAGUUCAAAGAAGAAAGGGCCAACUUGAAAAUACAAGCCAUGGUCGAAUAAUAUAUCAAUUUGACGGCAAUUCAGAAACCGUCGACAAUGCAGAAGGACAUGACCAGUGAAGGAAUUUUACGAGCACAAUUUCCAAAAUUUAGUCAAAAGUCUUGGUCAUUGGUCAAGUCAAUAUUUUCCUAGUCAAGUCUUCAUGGUUUUAAGAACUUUAUAGUUUAUAGGUUUGACUAGUAUAUUUAUUUCUAUCCACAGCCUAUUAUAUAAAACCAAGUAUUGUAAUGUUUUAUUCAUUCAACCUUUUUAAUAAAAUCUACUUUUAAAUUUGUUGAAUCCUUCUUUCUUUUUAAACAUCGACUGCUGGAAGUUCAUUCUCUGCAAGUAGACUCAUCCUUGAUCGAAAACAUAGUUCAUUCUCUUGAUCAAUGGCACAUCUACAGAAGUGUUAAUCAGUUCAUAGAUCCUGACUGAAGACCAUUCGAUCCAUCAACCAUUCCACCCUCCUUUGAUCGAUUUCUCGAUCAAAAGCCUAUCCAUCGCCAACCUUCGAGUGCCGAUUCCCGGGAGGGAUUUCUAUUAUUCUUGAUGAAACCCUAGGAAAGGCCACUCUGCUUUUGGUUGGAUCAAUUUGGAAAAGGGGUCAGAUUGGAUAGAUUUUGAUGAUGAUAUGGAUUUGUGGAUAGAAGAGAAGAUGGAUGAUGAACUUUAGUGUAAGAUCUGCGGAAUGAUCAGAAACUUGCGUAGAUGUGUCCUUGAUCAUGAGAAUGAAUUCACAAGUACGAUCAAGGACAAGUUUGCUUGCAGAGAAUGAACUCCUAGGAAUCGAUGUUCAAUGAUGAACGAAGGAUUAAUAGUCUGCAGAAAGUUUUUAACAAAAAAAGGUGAAUAAUUUUAUUCAUGGCUACUUAGGCCUUUAUAUAGUCUUACAAGUUGUAGAAACCAAAAAGACUUAGCUAAAAACAAAACAUAGAAAAUUACAAGCAAAGACUUGACUGAACUAUUGUUUUGAUGGAAUUAAUGUUUUGACUGAAACUUGGACUGCCCUUUGGCUUCCCACGACCUUGACUUAUUCUGAGGAUUUCUUGGUCUUUACUCUAUUGUUGCAUUCAUUCAGGUUUAUCCAUAAGUGCGGCAUCCACCGAGAUGCAUCCACGGGUUCUGCAUCCAAAGAGUUGCAUCCACUCACUAAGUUCUUCCUCUUCCAUGUUAGCUUCUGGUUUGAUCAUGCUUCCAUCAUCUCCUCCUCCUUUCAAAGGAUUUGUCCUCAAAUCCAAAUCUCAUGGAUCAAAACGAAAUGUGGGUUUAAUAGAGAUCAAAUUCAAAUUACCACCUUUGUAGCCCUUGUAGUUUUGUGAGGAAUUUUAGCUUGGUCACUCCAUGCCCAUCUAUUACUCUGUCAAUCACAUGCUGGUUUCUUUGAGCUCCAUUUCCAACACGUACUCUCUGGGAUGAAAUGACCAUACCUCAAAAUACUGCAGCUCAUCCUGGUCGUUUUUGUUGCAACCAAACUUCUGAAACUUAUACUGGAAUUGUCUUCCGAUAUAUGGCUUCAAUUCUUUAAACAAGGGAGCCUUAGCUUUGGCUGUUGGAUCCAAGAAAGCUGAAUCUCCAAAUACAAAAUACAGACCUUCUGUUCUGUUUGAUUGAACUUUUGAUUUUUGAACAGAACUCCAAACCAUCCACUCUUUGAUUGGAUCAUUCACACUGAUUUUAAGUUCACAUAACAUUUCUCCUUCCAGCAGUGAUACUUCUAUUUUAGAUUCGCCCAUAGAUGCACAAAGCCUCCUUUCAAAUAUUCUACUUCCUUUAGCAUCUCAGAACAAAGGUAUAACACCCCGACUGCCCACGGAUAAUAGGCCACCCAUGCCCUUUCUCUUGGCCUGUGGGCCCCAUCCCGUUCUAACGGUCGGUGCGUUAAUUUUCCAAAGGCACGACAGUCUUGUUUACUAACCCUGCAAUCACAACGUGACAUUUUCCCGUGCUUUGGCCUUACUCGCACGCUAUCGCGAAUCACUUCCUGAUAAAUCACCCAUCCUUUCACUACUCCAGCUCAAGCACGCUUAACUCUGCUCUGGAGUUCUUAACGGAUGUGUGACGGAAAAGGUAAGUCAACUUUGGUGACAUAGGUAGCCAGAUCAAUUCUCUUGAGGCUUUCCAUAUACCACAACUCGGGAUGUUACAAUUCAGCCUCUCUCAAAGAACGCAACGUCCUCAAUGCGCCCCAUGACAAGUCUCAAGACGCCUCUCGGAUCAGAACUGAGAUGGCAAACCAGCUCUGAUAUACUUAGAACAUCCCGACCGCCCACGGCUAUUGGGCCACCCAUGCCUGCUGUCUCGGCCCGUUGGCCCAUCCCGUUCCAAUAGUCGGUGGGUUAGUUUUCCAAAGGCACGAAAGUCUUGUUUACUAACAAUGCAAUCACCACAUGACCUUUUUCCGUGCUUUGGCCUCACUCACAUGCUAUCGCGAAUCACUUCCCGAUAGGUCACCCAUUCUUUCUCUACGCCAGCUCAAGCACACUUAACUCUGUAGUUCUAAAUGGAUGUGUGACAGAAAAAGUAAGUGAACUUAGGUGACAUAAGUAGCCAAAUCAAUUCUCUUAAGCAUUUCCAUAUAUCACAAUUCGGGAUGUUACAAAAGGAUGAAUGGAUCAGGUUGUGGAUAAUGAGAAUACCUCUUGGACAGUGUAUCAACAUAAUCGAUUUUGGUGAGGUUCUAAAACAGAUCUUCCUUUGCAGCUUCUUUACUCUUUUUAAGGCAUGUUUUCUCAAUCGCUUCUGGUUGUGCCUCCUUCGCAGGAUCAGAUUUCAUAAUUAUCUUUGAUAGCACUCCCACAAUAGGAUCAGUAUGGACGAUCUUCUCUGGUUGCUAUUCCACCAAUGGCUCAGAACCCUUUAAAGAUUCCUUUUUAUGAAAUUUCUGGUUUGAUGGUGAUGUUGGAUCUGUCUUCUCUUCCAUGGAAUUCUAUGUUUUUGUGCUAACUGAAUCCAAAUCAGUAAAGGAACGUCUUGCUCUCAUGUCUUUGAUUUUCUUCUUAACCAUGAUGGCAUGAUUCAGUUUUUUUUUUCUAACUUUACAAACCAGUCUUCUUCUGGUAUAGCUGCGGGCAAGUGAGACUCUUGUUGUGAUGCUGAUGGUGUACUUUCUCACGGUUUGGUCUCCUGCCAUAUUGUUCCUUGACAGCUUCAGGGAAGUCUUUUGGUAUAUACCUCUUAUCCAUGAUGUUCUGAAGCUCCUCCCAGGUUGUGAUUGCUGUUUUUUUCGCAACCAACGUCUUUCCUCUUUUCUGUCCCACCAUCUUCUAGCCUUACCGCAUAGUCUACUAGUAGCCAGAGAUAACCUUUUAUUUAAGGCAUGCAAUUGUUCCAGAUACAUGUCUCCAUGUUUGCAGUCUAAGAUAGAUAUGUUUCAGGACAAUUUCCUCCAUAAAAAAAACUCUAGGUAUAACAUAUGGACGUGAUUUUGAACCCAUCAACAGAGAAUUUCGAAAUUAAACCCAUACAAUAGAGAAAAUCAAAACCCAAAAGAACAUAGAAUCUGAAAUAAACCAGAAAAUAUAAAUUAAAAUUGAAAGAUAUUUGAGAAAUAAAAACCCCAAACACAAAUCGAUCUUCAGAGUGUUGCUCUGAUACCACUUGAUGAAACCCUAGGAAAGGCUACUCUGUUUUCGGUUGGAUAAAUUUGGAAAAGGGAUCGGAUUGGAUAGAUUUUGAUGAUGAUAUGGAUUUGUGGAUAUAGGUCGAAGAUGGAUGAUGAACUUCAAUGUAAGAUCUGUGGAAUGAUCAGGUACUUACGUAGAUGUGUCCUUGAUCGCGAGAAUAAACUCACAAGUAAAAUCAAGGACGAGUUUGCUUUCAGAGAACAAAUUUCUAGCAAUCGAUGUUCAACAAAGAAUUCACAAUCUUCAUAGAGUUUUUAACAAAAAUGGUGAAUGAUUAAGUUCAUGGCUACUUAGACCUUUUUAUAGUCUUAAAAGUUGUAGAAACCAAAAAAAAACUUAGCUAAAAACAAGACAUAGAAAAUUGCAAACAAUGACUUGACUGAAUUAAUAUUUUUGACUAAAACUUGGACUUCCCCUUGGCCUUCCGCGACCUUGACUUAUUCUGAAGCUUUUUUGGUCUUUACUUGAUUGUUGCAUGCAUUCAGGUUUAUCCACAGGUGUAACAUCCACCGACAUCCACAGGUCUGCAUCAUAAGAGUUGCAUCCACUCACUAAGUCUUUCUUGUUCCAAGUUAGCUUCUGGUUCGAUCAUGCCUGGAUCGAAACUUAACGAAGAGUGCUCAGUAUAUUGUUAAGUCUCAAUAUUGGCUCGUCCGAAAUGUUUUAAAGCACAAAACUAAGGUGGUAAACUCUGAUCCCAGUAUUACCAAUCUCCAAAUUUUUUUCUUGGAAAAUUAAAGCUCCUCAUAAGAUGCAUCAUUUUAUAGGGAAGCUGGUAACAUGACAUGUAGAUGUAACAAAAAAUCUGACGCCUCACAAUAUGCGAUUUGAUAACUGUCUUGAAUGUGGAAAACUUGAUGAAUCAGUUAAUCAUGAUAUUUUUUAAUGUUCGCCAACAUUGCUAGCAUGGGAAUUACCGGCUAAGCCUUCCAAUCCGAAUAUUAUUCCGAUUCGGUGUUUAUACCAAUGUAGAUAACAUAUUCUCGGGAAAUAAACAGUAUUAAAGAAUGGAUAUUUGAUGUAAAGAAAUAUUUGUACACCAUAUACCAAAAACUAGGAUAUCACAUUUUUAAAAGUAAAUAACCAAAUAAAUUCUAAUAAACUUAUUACAUUCAUCUGUCUUUUGAUCAAAAUUUUCAUCUUUUUUUUUUGAAACUGCAAAAUUUUCAUCAUUAUAUACCAAAAAUUAGGAUAUACACGGUGUGGUGAGUGAGUCCAAGGGCCACCCAUUGACUGACUAUUCAAGUUUUGAUGAAAUAUCUUCCAUGUUAAUAAUUUAGCACCUUGUCGUUUUACGUCCAACUUGUUCGUGUUUUCUUUCGUCUUUGAAAGCUAGCUACUCGUGAAUGGAUAGUGGGACAUGAAGGCAAAACUGAAUAUGAUUAAGAUAAGUAUAAUUUUCUCUAUCAUCUUUAAAAAGAUCUGACGAGACUAGAGAGUAUAGAUUUGUCUAUUAGACGUAUACACUCACAACGAUCCAUUGAAUUAAUAAAAAAAUCACUCAGUGCUUUUCACCCACUUGUUUUAUUUUAUCUGAUAGCUGUUCUAUAUAUCUUUGACCACACAAAGCUCUAAGUCUUUCUCCUGCUUUUGACCUUUUGGAAGUGUAAAAAGAUAUCUUGCUCUUAUAUCUUUAUGUCACAUGUAAAGUAAUGAAAAAGCCUAUUAGUUUUAUGUGACUAUAGGCCGAAAAUAGUUAAACUUUUAAUAAUGAUUUAUUUAAAUAUUGAUUUAGAUUUUUAUAUGGAUUCUUGCUUCAUAAAAAAAAUUAAAGACUAAAACCGUUAAGUAAUCGUUUAAAAGUGUUUUUAAUCAACCAAAUUUUAAUUUGAUUAUCUUUGGAACAAUUGAGUUUUAUAAAAUUAUGUCAAAAUAAUAUUGAUAUUUUAUAUUUAUAUUUAACAUAUUCAAAAAAAUUCAAAUAUGUACAAAAUUUUAUGUAUAAACUAUAAUAACUCUAUCUAAUUUCAUUUUGUUGGUAUACUAAACCGAUCAGAAUUUUUAAGUUAACUCAAUAAACUAUAUGUCAAUCGUUCAACCGAAGUAUUAUCUUCUGAUUAAACCUACAUAAACUCAAUUAUUUACAAACUAGAUUAAUCUUGACUAGGCCGAUCGCUGCUUGAUUUUUCUUCGUAUUUUCCACUUCGAUAUCCUUGUUCAUUCCAUUUCGAGGCUGUUGACUUUAUAGAUACAUAGUUUUUUUUUUUUAGUUUCUACGUUGAGUUUCAUCCCCAAAGCCACACUCAGCACUAGUUUAAGCGAUAAACUAUUUUUUAAGCGAUAAACUAAGAAUAUGUGGUGCUACUCUAAGACACGAUAUUUACCAAAACUAAUACAUUUGUGACUUGUGAGGAGCAUUCAGUGUUUCAUUCACAAAAAGGCUUGGAAUUAACUGCAGGGGGCAUACAAGCUUAGAAAGAUAGAACAAAAGAAACAUUUAUUUCUAUAAAUAAACAUCCCUUUAAGCGACACAUAAGACGAUACAUGGUGUUGAUCAAAAAAAAAAAAAAAAAGACGAUACAUGGUUUCCUAAUAGAUGCACAG